ensembl:lncRNA TUSC7 tumor suppressor candidate 7
UGGAUCUAGAUCUUAAUAUAUUUUUGAGAAAAGCUAGAAAUGUGGAUUUUUAUAUCAAAUGUAUCCGUUUUUAAUGCUGGUGCAAUUUCUAAAAAUAAACAAAAACUGUAUGGGCCAAAUAAAAUAUAUACGCGAGCUGAAUUAGGCUAGUGGAUUACUAGUUUGAGAACUCUUAUUUAGAAAGAUCUGCCUCUGAGAAUUAGUGUUUCCUUCUUGACCAGGCAGAAUAUGGAUCUGUGUGUAUGUGCUUCUAUGUAUGUGAUUUAGCAAUUAACCAGUAAACCUGCCCCCUUCAAAAGACGCAUAUUGAUGAAAUCAUUUGUGACCUCACAGGAAUCACAAAUGAUGUUCCUAUGACGCCCUAGAUUGUUCUGUUACACAAGGGGUACCAAAGUCCACUCUGAGCUUUUCCUCUGGGAACAGAUCCCAGAUUAUUCCAGACUUAAGACAUGGAGAUAUAUCUUGCUAGAGGUAGGAAGAUGAUAAGAUCAGUUUCUAUAGGUAGAGGAUAAUGUGUCCUAAAAUGUAGGUAGAGAUAAGUCUGACAGUGGUUUAGACAAAAAGGGCCUCUGCUAAUGGUGGAGAGAUCAAGGAAGAAAAGAGCAACGUUAAAGUGAGGCUGUACCCACAGAUCAUGCUCAAGCAAAUUCGAACCGUGAGCGCAUUUCUCUUAAACAAUGAACACUUAGAAUAAAAAUUAAAAUUUCCCACAAAUUUCUAAUUUUAAAAUAGUUUCCCAAGAUUUCAGUGGUAUUGUAUAUAUGCCCAUAUAAUUUUUUGGAUUACUAUUCCCACAAGUGUAAGAUGAAAGAGGACCUGCCCUCCAUUCUAUCUACUCCCUCUCUGCAAAGGCCAUUUUGAAGAUCUCAGUUUUACUGAAAGGGGUCUGCCACACAUAACUUCCCUGGUGUACCAGCAACAAGUGUUCAGUGGACCAUGGCAACACAAAGAAUGACGGAGGAGAGAAAAUGCCAUGCAGAAGUGAUAGUCAAGAUGAAGAUGUGGGAGAGGAGCAGCCCCCAGUAUAUAUUCAGUGUGUCCUCUGAAGUAACAACCAUCCCAUCUGGCUGAGAAGUGAUGGACACGGCUCCUUAACCACACUGUACCCUCUGUUCUUGGCACCUCUCUACCAGAAAGAUAUCAACAAAUUGGAUGGAAUUCAGAGAACAUGACUUCCUAUUAUCCUUCUCAAAGUUAUUGCUGCAGAGGAAAGAAGCAUACAUCUUUUACCCACCAGGAAACCCCCAAAGCAUCUAUUACCAUAAUAGCCAUGGGAAACAGAAGGCACCUCAAAUAAAGGUGGGGAAAAGAAUGAAAGAAAUGGCUUUGGCCUGUGCCUGUUUGACCUCUGAGAGAUACUUUUUGCAAGAAAUUGUUAAGUUUUGGCCCAAAAAGUGGUCGGUCUUUUAUCCUUCCUUGUGGAGGCCAAACUGCAAACCAGGAUGAAGAAACCAUCAGUGGCAGUUUGGGGAGGUGGAGGAGGGACUAUCUAGACUCAGUGAAUCACCAAGGAAACAUGAGGCCUAUUUCUCUGUGAAGCUGAACUUCAAAAAACAAUCUAAGAGAUACAAAGGGAAAAGUGUGACUGCUCUGACAGCAAAAACAAGCAAAUAUCUCCAGAGGGGAUUAAUCCUUCUGCUUCAAAGUAACUAAAACAAAGAAAGCUGAGCCAGCUUCACUGGAAACAACACCUGUCCAUCAGACAAGGAUGAGCUAAUCAAAAGAAAACACUGCCUAUGUGCACGACUCAGCAGCCUGGACAGCUAAUACCAAGGAACACGUUUUCACUAUAAAGAUUCAGCUUUCAAAAUCCAGUUCCCUCUUGUAGAGCCACAGGGUUAAAAGGGACCUUAGAGAUCAUCUACAUACAGGCCAAACCCUCAAUGAAUGCCAGUGUUCGCCUUAUGUUCUUCUUGCCGGACUCUUUUCUGGCCUCUGUUCUGUCAGGAUGUUUCCUGUUUUGCAAAACAGCUUUAAUCCUUGAGUAUAUUUAAUUGUUAGAAAACAGUUCCUCAAAUUUGACCCCAAAUUUAAGUCUAAUUUAUGAAGAAAGUUUUGCCUUUGGAGACAGGUUUAAUUUUACUUCCAUGUGGAAAACCUUCAAAUAAAAUGAUGACUAUUGUGUACUCACGAACUAUCUCUUCUUCUCCCAGCUUAAUCAGGUCCUAUGGUGGUGUACAAAUGUUUCUACCACCUUAUUACCAUCUAGUUUUCAAUGGCUCUUUGAAAAUAUAUUGGCUAACUCUAAAUACAAGACUCCAGAUGUAAUCUAAUCAGUACAGAAUACAUUUGGAUUUUUACAUCCGACCAUCUGGAGGCUAUAUUUCUAUUAACUCAAGUAUAAGAUCUCUUUGCUUUCUGUCAUAAAUUGUGCCAACGAUCAAUGCUUGUUUUUACACAAACUGCAAUUAAGUU